GCGGCGGGGGCGCGCGGAGGUGCGCGGGGGCUGCUGGGGCCCAGUGGGCGGAGACUUCCUCGCGGCGGGGCCCGGCGAAGACCAGCCAGGCCCGUAAAAGGCUGGGUGCUGCAGGCCGCCGGUGGGGUCCCGACCUUGAAAGGAAGCGUCAGUGAGCUGUACCUUGGGCCUCUAGGGAAUGAAACGCCGAUCUGGAUUUAUGGGGUGAGGACACCCAAAGAAGGCGGCCAUCUGCAAAUCAAGAAGAGAGUCCCCACCAGACACAGAUCUGUAGAACCUUGAUCUUGGACUUCUGGUCUCCAGAAUUGUGAGGACCAAUGGUUGUUGUUGAAGCCCCCAGCCUAUGGUACUCUUGUUAUAGCAGCUGGAACUGACUAAGACAAUGACCAAUAAAUAUCAGUGGUUGUUAUUGUCAUAUCUCCCCAGAUAUUUUUGUCCUUGAUGGACCAGAAAGGUAGUGCUUAAAGUUAAAAAGUUAAAGUUAAAGUUUCAUAACAUCUAUGAGUUGUGGGGAAAAUGGGGGGAAAAGGCAAGACAGUUGGGGCAGAGGAGCCUUCCUGAAACUCUGAAAUCAUCCCAUGUGGGCAACCACCUGGGCGUGAUACUGCUCUGUAUUGGAGUGGAGACUUUUCAAUUUACUUGAAAUUUUGCUACAGUACAGAGAGGCCCAUGUGAUAACUGACUCCACGAAUGACAGAUUAUUGUGUUUUAAGUUAACACUCUUUUCAAACCACAGAGACUGGUUAUUACUUCGUAUCUCUCACUACUGUGUGAUCUGCUCAUCUGUGGGUCAUCGCCUUUGCCCCUCGUUUGUGUCCUGCCUUCAGAGACAUAGAAGGCAGGGAGCUGAGGCACAAAAAGGGCCUUGGUAGUGAGGAUCAGGUGGGCACACUGUUUUCCUGAAUAAAGUCAUUUGCAGAAAUUUCCUGAAGCAAACAGCAAAGGUCAACAGAUAUGGGUCCGCCAGGAAGAGCAUGUUCUUGGGCAAGUCAGCUCUUGGCAACUGAGGCAAGAAGAAACUGGGGAUUCUCUUCUGACAGCUGAUACAAGCCCUCCCUUGAAAGGGUUACAGGCACUGCAUCUCUAUGCCCCCCGCACAAAGGUUUGUGUGUGGACAUACGUUUUCAACUCCUCGAGUAAACACCAAGGAGUGCUAUUGCUGAAUCCUAUGGUAAGAGUCUGUUUAGUUCUGUAAGAAAUCCCAAACCGUUUUCCAAAGCGGCCGUGCCAUUUUGCAUUCCCACCAGCAAUGAACGAGAGUUCCUGUUGCUCCACAUCUCCGCCAGCAGCUGGCGUUGUCAGUGUCCUGGAUCUUGAGCCAUUCUAAUAGGUGUGUGAAGUACCAGAGACUGAAUCUUCUGCUGAGUAGACGUGAACCUUAGACAUGAUCUGGUCCAGCUUCUUCAGUUUACAAAAACACCGUGCGUAUGAACCCCUUCCUUCGUCCAGCGUGCGAUGCCGAAGCCCGUGGAAGGGUCCUCGUGGCCACGCUGCUGCCACCCAGCUGCUUUCCCAAUUAGGCCCUGAAAGGUUUCCCCUGACUUUUUAGGUCCCUUCUCAGCGGAAUUCUCCUUUUUUUCCUCGGUAGACGUCUCAGAAACUCGGUCAGACGUGGCCAGGGGCCCGGAUCCUCAUGAUGGUACCCGCAUUUCUCAAGGAUGACCCUCUCUCUCCAGGGCUGAGCCAGCCACCUACCUAUAAGGAGGGCGGCCUGCAGGAGGUGACCAAACUCUGACUCCGUGGCUGGGUUAAGCUCAUGAGCAGGGACAGGUGCUUCGACACGCUGCCCAUAUUCGUAGUGAGAACAGGAUAUGAGCCCUGAGGCCACUGAAGAUGGAGGAGAAUCUUCCAGGCCGCGCAAAGUCUAAAGCCCUGUGGUUUAUAAACCUCUCCCUCUUGCCGCCAGGGCCUGUCCCUGUGGGCGUUGCCUGCGAGUCCCGGCUUUGUGGAUCUGGAUGUGCAGGAACAGAGAGGAAGCCAGAGUGAGGACGGUUGAGAUCAUCUUGUUCUGCUAAGUUGGAUGGCAAACCUACACUUUCAGAACGGCACACUGAGAAAUGCAAGGCAACUGAGUGUCCUCUGCAGUGAACACAUCAGCAUGAAUGUCCCUGCAGGCCAAGUAGAGAGACAGGUCAGGUUGGGGGCACAAAGGAAAGAGCCCAACCAGGAAACAGUAGCUCAGGAUCGGCACCAGGACAGGGUUAAUGCCGGAAUCUGACUGCAGCUGGAUAUUUUGAGUUUUCCAUAUGUCCCAGGGUUUUCCCCUGCUUUGGGUUAUUGGCAAAUGGUAUUCUGUUAGUUCUUUAAAUUUUUUUAAAAUGUUUAUCUAU